rnacentral:rRNA from 1 species
GACGAACGCUGGCGGCGCACCUAAGACAUGCAAGUCGAACGGUCUUCGUCUCGUCACCUUCGGGUGACGAGGAGGGGAUAGUGGCGGACGGGUGAGUAACACGUAAGGGACCUGCCCUAGAGUGGGGGAUAGCCUGGGGAAACCGAGGGUAAGCCCGCAUACGCUCCCCGGCAUAGCGGCCGGGGAGGAAAUCCCCCUAAUAAGGGGAGCUCAAGGAGGGCCUUGUGGCGGAUUAGCUCGUUGGAGGGGUAGUGGCUCACCAAGGCUUCGAUCCGUAGCUGGUCUGAGAGGAUGACCAGCCACACCGGGACUGAGACACGGCCCGGACUCCUACGGGAGGCAGCAGUUAGGGAAUUUUCCCAAUGGGCGCAAGCCUGAGGGAGUGACGCCGCGUGCGGGAGGAAGGCCUUCGGUCGUAACCG